UGGAAAUUGGGACACCCAUGAUGUCUUAGAGGGUUGGAAAAGAACUGAGGUCAGCCACAUAUCUGAGCACCAUGAAUACACCAGCUACAGGAUCAGUGCACCCUGCCUUAAAAAGCCAGCUGCAAUGAAACACUUUCGAAUGGAGAAGCAUCUGGAUGUUGAGGAUAUCAGAGAAGCCUCCUGCUGGCCUGGAAAGGAGAUCAACUAUGCCUGAAGAAACAGAACCUACAAAUAACCGAGGUACUCCUUGGUAGGAGCCUCACAUCCACCAGAGUUUUCGUGAGCUAACUGGUCUACAAGAUGACUGCCAUGCUGUAGCUGCUGGAGGUAGCCUGAUCAAAAACACCGUCAGUGUGGAGAUGAUUGAUUGAUUCUUCUUUGUAUCUCCUGUAAUACCCACAUCUUUGAUCUAGCCAACCAUUAAAGAGAGCAUGGUUGUAUUAUAGGUAUUAAACAGCAUGUAUUAUAUACAGGUCCAAAUGGUAAAGAGCAAGUAGAUGAGUUAGAGGGAGGAUAUAAUACAUAAGGAAAGAGGUUCUUGGUGUCCGGAGGGGGGCCUUUUCCUCCCAGCUGCUUACUUGAGUGGUCUGCAAGCACGUCUUCAGCCCCCAAAUGAGGCCUAUGUGGAAAAGGACGACAUCGAGCAAAGGGCAUAGGUGGAAACUCCCUCCCCCUGCAGCACAUCAUGUGCUACUCUCAGCUCAGUGGUUUAAAGAGAGCAAGAAGAUUUACUUCAGAUGGCUGGCGUCCCUGUCACCAUCCCCAGACCCGUUUCUGAGAGAGGGGUGUGCAGGAGAGAGAAGAGGAGGUGGUGGUCAUUCUGAAGCAAGAUAAUACAUAACAUAGGAAACUAAAUGGUAGUGAAUGAAUAAUGCUAAAGGCUAGAAAAAUUUGUAGAGAAGUGGAGAGAAGCUCCAGAGCUGAGCCAGCAGCGGAGGACGUGCCCACCAUUGCUGGAUAAUUUAUUUUGGAAGCAGGCCUGAGAAUGGGAAUCUGAUUAUUCAGCAAAAAUCCUAAUCUAUAAAGAGGCUUUCUUACCUUAGACUCACUGAGGUAUAUAUCCUGACAUUGUAAGGGUUCAGAAGACCAGAACACAAGCCCAGUGUUCAGGUCAAGAGAACAAGAGCCUUGG